UACGUAGGGUGCGAGCGUUAAUCGGAAUUACGUGGGACGUAAAGCGUGCGCAGGCGGUUUUGUAAGACAGGCGUGAAAUCCCCGGGAUCCGAACCUGGGAAUGGCGCUUGUGACUGCAAAGCUGGAGUGCGGCAGAGGGGGAGUGGAAUUCCGCGUGUAGCAGUGAAAUGCGUAGAUAUGCGGAGGAACACCAAUGGCGAAGGCAAUCCCCUGGGCCUGCACUGACGCUCAUGCACGAAAGCGUGGGGAGCAAACAGGAUUAGAUACCCG
rnacentral:rRNA from 1 species